rnacentral:tRNA from 1 species
GUGGGUAUAGCUCAGUGGUAGAGUGCAUGCUUAGCAUGCAUGAGGUCCUGGGUUCAAUCCCCAUACCUCCA